AUACGAUACAGAGGUGCGAUCUAUUGUGUAUGCCAUCAAAUAAAGGAAGGGAUAUCCGCUUGAUGGUUGAAGGAGUAUGUCGCCGAAAGCUUAAUGUGCAUCCCCACAUUAACCUUGAUGAUUGAGGAAACACCUCCUUCAUUGCCAUUUUAAACAUAAAUGGAGAGCUGUCCUUGAC
rnacentral:ncRNA from 2 species